CAGGUGGGAUGGGCAUCCAAGUCACUCUGAGCCCUAAGUCUUGGGUAUUCAGCAUGAUCUAUACUGAUUACCAGGUUCAGCUCACACUUCGGAACUUUUGGAACAACAGUUAAGCAUCUUUAUAUGUAGAGACAAUGUUCGGAAAAUCAGUUUCAAGUCUUUACUUCUAAUGAGUGGGGAAGAGCCUGGCCAUCGAGAUUGUUGUCCAGUGUUUGUUUAGCCUUCAGCCAUGAUUGUAAGAUUCCUGAGUCUUCAUCAGAAGCAGAGCAGACGUCCAGCGCCAUGAUUCCGAUACAGCCUGCAGAACUAACUUUCUUCAGUUUGUCUCUCCUGGAAGGAUGAGCACCUCCACACUCAAGGUUUGACUAUAUUGAAACUACGUCAUUGAUCAUCAAAUCACAAGAAACAAGGAGUUUUAGUCUUCACUAGAAGCGCACCUAUGUGACCUUGAGCAAGUGUAUUCAGCCUUUCUUGGUCUCCCUUUCCCCAUCUGUAAAAUGAAUGUGUGGUUUGGUGAUGGCUGGUCUGUGGAUCCAUUGCAUCAGAAUCACCUGGAAAGCUACUGCAAAUGCUAAUUUGCAGGUCCUAGCCCAAUCAUGAAUAUCUUUGCAC
rnacentral:lncRNA from 1 species